GCAGGGGAUCUUAGGACCUUGCGCUGAUUGAGCGGCCGAUAUCAGAUUAGCUAGUUGGUGAGGUAAAGGCUCACCAAGGCGCCGAUCUGUAGCGGGUCUGAGAGGAUGAUCCGCCACACUGGAACUGAGACACGGUCCAGACUCCUACGGGAGGCAGCAGUGGGGAAUUUUGGACAAUGGGCGCAAGCCUGAUCCAGCCAUGCCGCGUGAGUGAAGAAGGCCUUCGGGUUGUAAAGCUCUUUCGGCCGGGAAGAAAUCGCAUGGGUUAAUACCCUGUGCGGAUGACGGUACCGGCAUAAGAAGCACCGGCUAACUACGUGCCAGCAGCCGCGGUAAUACGUAGGGUGCGAGCGUUAAUCGGAAUUACUGGGCGUAAAGCGUGCGCAGGCGGUUUGUUAAGAUAGGCGUGAAAUCCCCGGGCUCAACCUGGGAACUGCGCUUAUGACUGGCAAGCUAGAGUACGGCAGAGGGGGGUGGAAUUCCACGUGUAGCAGUGAAAUGCGUAGAGAUGUGGAGGAACACCAAUGGCGAAGGCAGCCCCCUGGGUCGAUACUGACGCUCAUGCACGAAAGCGUGGGUAGCAAACAGGAUUAGAUACCCUGGUAGUCCACGCCCUAAACGAUGUCAACUAGGUGUUGGGAGGGUAAAACCUUUUAGUACCGGAGCUAACGCGUGAAGUUGACCGCCUGGGGAGUACGGCCGCAAGGUUAAAACUCAAAGGAAUUGACGGGGACCCGCACAAGCGGUGGAUGAUGUGGAUUAAUUCGAUGCAACGCGAAAAACCUUACCUACCCUUGACAUGUCCAGGAGCCCGGAGAGAUUUGGGUGUGCCCGAAAGGGAACUGGAACACAGGUGCUGCAUGGCUGUCGUCAGCUCGUGUCGUGAGAUGUUGGGUUAAGUCCCGCAACGAGCGCAACCCUUGUCGUUAAUUGCCAUCAUUUAGUUGGGCACUUUAACGAGACUGCCGGUGACAAACCGGAGGAAGGUGGGGAUGACGUCAAGUCCUCAUGGCCCUUAUGGGUAGGGCUUCACACGUCAUACAAUGGUCGGUACAAAGGGUUGCCAAGCCGCGAGGUGGAGCCAAUCCCAGAAAGCCGAUCGUAGUCCGGAUUGCAGGCUGCAACUCGCCUGCAUGAAGUCGGAAUCGCUAGUAAUCGUGGAUCAGCAUGUCACGGUGAAUACGUUCCCGGGUCUUGUACACACCGCCCGUCACACCAUGGGAGCGGGUUCCGCCAGAAGUAGGUAGCCUAACCGCAAGGGGGGCGCUUACCACGGCGGGGUUCGUGACUGGGGUGAAGUCGAAACAAGGUA
rnacentral:rRNA from 1 species